AUUGAACGUUGGCGGCGUGGAUUAGGCAUGCAAGUCGUACGGGUCGGUGUAGCAAUACAACGGCAAGUGGCGAAAGGGAGAGUAACACGUAGAUACCUACCCUCUGGUCGGGGAUACCGCGGCAUAACCGCAAGUAAUACCCGAUAAAAUCUCCGGAUCAAAGGUGUGAUUCCGCCGGAGGAGGGGUCUGCGUUCUAUCAGCUUGUUGGUGAGGUAAUGGCUCACCAAGGCUAAGACGGAUACGGGGUGUGAGAGCAUGCCCCCGCUCACUGGGACCGAGACACUGCGCAGACACCUCCGGGUGGCUGCAGUCGAGAAUCUGCGGCAAUGGGCGCAAGCCUGACCGAGCGACGCCGCGUGCGGGAUGAAGGCCUUCGGGUUGUAAACCGCUGUCGAGGGGAAUGAAGUGUAGGUGGGUACUCCCAUCUAUUUGACAGAUCCCUGGAGGAAGCAUGGGCUAAGUUCGUGCCAGCAGCCGCCGUAA
rnacentral:rRNA from 1 species